UUAAAUUCAAGCAUUAAAUGAAGAGACUAACAAAGUAAAAGCAGUGAGAGCAAAUAAUUAUGAAAAAAAAAAAAAAGAUCACGCAAUGUAAUCCAGUCUGUUUUGGGAGCUUAAGGUUAUUGGUUUUGCUUUUCUGUGUGCGUGUUAUGAUCAUAUUCAAAUGGAAAUUAAGACGACUUUGUAGGUUUACAAUAAGUAUGUUUCUUGUUUAUAGAGAGGGAAGUCUUAAAUGAGAAAGAGCUGGUCAUGUGGUGUUCUGGUUUUGGUCCGGUAAUCAAACCUGCCGACAAUUUAAUUGUAACGUUUG
rnacentral:misc_RNA from 1 species